UACGUAGGGGGCAAGCGUUGUCCGGAAUCAUUGGGCGUAAAGAGCGCGUAGGCGGCCCUGUAAGUCCGCUGAGAAAGUCAAGGGCUCAACCCUUGGAUGCCGGUGGAUACUGCAGGGCUAGAGUCCGGAAGAGGCGAGUGGAAUUCCUGGUGUAGCGGUGAAAUGCGCAGAUAUCAGGAGGAACACCGAUGGCGAAGGCAGCUCGCUGGGACGGUACUGACGCUGAGGCGCGAAAGCGUGGGGAGCAAACGGG
rnacentral:rRNA from 1 species